GAUGAAGAACGUAGCGAAAUGCGAUAAGUAGUGUGAAUUGCAGAAUUCAGUGAAUCAUCGAAUCUUUGAACGCACAUUGCGCCCCCUGGUAUUCCGGGGGGCAUGCCUGUUCGAGCGUCAUUACAACCCUCAAGCUCUGCUUGGUAUUGGGCCCCGCCAGUUCUGGCGGGCCCUAAAGUCAGUGGCGGUGCCUUCCGGCUCCGAGCGUAGUAAUUCUUCUCGCUCUGGAGACCCGGUUGUGUGCUUGCCAACAACCCCCAAUUUUUUAAGGUUGACCUCGGAUCAGGUAGGGAUACCCGCUGAACUUAAGCAUAUCAAUAAGCGGAGGA
rnacentral:misc_RNA from 1 species